GGGGAGAGGGCCCGGGAGAGAUGGGCCUGAAGACUAGUGGCCUCCUCAAGAGCCAUGCCACACACAUGGAUGUCAGAGCCCACACUGAUGCAGGCAGCAAGGGGUGAGGCUGCACAAACUCCUGCACAUGCACAUGAGCCUGCAGAAUUCCAGCCCAAAGCCAAAGAAACAAAGCACAAAGGCCCAUGUGGUUAACUUCAGCUCCAGUCACAGCAGCAAAAGGCUGAGGUUACAGCCCACAGGCCUGCACCUCCACCAUCUCUGCCAGUUGGCCCCGCUAGCUUGAGGUGGGACACAGCUUAUGCCCAGGGCCAUCCAGCGAGGUGGGCUCCUCUGAGGGUAUCUGGCCAUCACAGCCCUGGUCUGCAGCUUGUGACCCUGCCUGGCCCCAUCCUCUGCAACAGCGGGCAGCAGAGUUCAGCUGCUGCACGUGGGCAGGCCAGACCCUGGCUGGAACCCUGCAGCUCCUUGGUCUGUCCUGGGGUGGUCCUGACGCCUUCCCAGGUGUCAGCAGGGCCCCUGGGUGCUGGACAAAGUGGGCCACAGCUGGACACACUGCAUGACACUGGCCCUGGCUGCCCCUGGACUGGAGCCUGCCCCUGGUGGGCAUGGUGACACCAGGCGUAGUCACUCAACACACCAAGGCAAAGGCCUUGCCUUUCCUCCUUGGCCUUUGUCUAACUCAUGGCUCUGCCCAGGAUAGCCCUGGAACACAAGGCCACCCCAGUGCCCAGCAGGACAGGCCCUGCCUCCUCUGGCUCUGACAGCCCACAAAGGACACAAGCCUGCCAUGUCCUCAUGUUGGCUAGGCACCAGGCCUGAGCUGCAGCCUCCCCAGUGUCAGAUGUGCUGCCUGCCUCACGCUGUCCCCAGGAGGGCACAGGCCCAGGUCCUCUGCUCUUCAGUACCCAUGUCUGUCAACUGCAAGUGGACACAGUGCCCCUUCUGGGCAACAGGGGGAAUGACCCAUGCGGGGCUCUGGCUGCUGCUACUCCAAGACCGUGUCUUCCUGCUAUGGUGUGCACGGGGCUCAGCCUCCUCUGCAGCACAGGCCAAAAGGGGCUGACGCAGGACUCCAGCACAGGCCAGCUCCAGCCCUUCUCACAAGUUGAAGCUCAUGAAGCGGGGUGAAGAGGCCCUCACCCUGGAGCUCCCACCACCACCCGAGGUCCUGGGCUUGCAGUCUCCACCUCCUCACCCCAAGUGCCUCUGUCCCACAACCUUGAAGGCAUCUGGGGAUGGAGGAAGGGGCAGCAGGUGUGGCUCUAGGGAUGUGGGCAUGGCUGGCUUCCACCUCCCCGAGCUCCAGUUUCCCCGUCUUCCAAAUGGGAGAGUUUGGAACCUUAAAGGGCUGAGAGCUGUGCUAUCCAUCUCUGCUGCACUAUUUAACUUAGAUUCAGGUUAAUAAAAAGGCAACCUCCGCUGCACCAGA